UUUUAGAAAGAAACACAUGUUUGUCACAAAGUAAUUAGUUGUUGAACAAUAGGCCAAUUUAUACUAUGAAAUAUAAAUGCAAGCUCUACCUUAUGGAAUAUGAUACUUAUCAGGUGCUACACAGUGUAAAGAAUAUUUACACAAUUUUUACCCCGUGUGCCAUUUGUUGUCAUUCAUAUCUGAGACCCCAGUUAAAAGUAGAAUUGAAAAAUCUAUAGUAUAUAAAAGCUUGAUAACUUCAAGGUCCUGUCAUGAAAAAUUACAAUUGUCUCAAAAUAUCAUUAAACUUUGUUUCCAUAUAAUAUUCCCUGCUAUUAUUUUAUGGGAGAGGGGGGAUUCCUAUCAAUUGAAAAAAGCAAAAACCUUUAUGGUAUCACAUCAUUUCCCACUUACCCAUCAACAUAUCAGGAAACAGUUAAGUUGAAUGUCUGUCAAUUUAAAAAAAAAUUAAGUGUGUUUUCUUAAACAAAACAUUUAUUGAUUUGUUUUGUGUUAUUAAGAUUUGCUGUUAAUUUUUUUUAAAAAUUAUUAUGAAUUAAGGAAGAUAUCUCCCUCAGUCAAAGCUCUGAUUCAAUGCCAGGCUUUGGCUGUACUAUUUGGUCCUGUUAAAUUUAUAAGCUCUUCAUUUUGUUAACAAUUUUUCAAUUUUCAAGUAUUUUGGUCUUGAGCAACACCAACAAGACAUUUAUUCUUGAAAUACAAGAAAAAUUGGUACCAUUAAUAUUGAUAUUGUUUUUAUCAAAACUUUAUUUGACAUAUACCCUAGUUUAAAUAAGAACAAUUUCAAAAUACUUGUCAAAUGAUAUUUGGGAUGUAAGGCUUGUUUUUAGUUAUAUUUUCUUUAUAGAAAUUUAAGGUUUUCUAAUUAAAAAAGUUCAUGCAUUGCAUAGGAAAAAAAACCAAAGCUGUUAUACUAUGGUAAAUAAAAAUGUAUGAAAUGAACAUCCUUGGGUAGUUUUGUAGUAUCCUUUGAGUAUUGACUAGAUUAGAAUUAAAUUUGUAACGGAGCAUUCCUUGGAACUUCCUAGUUCUUACUGUUGCUGUUUAGCUCUAUCCUGUCAGCAUGAUCAAUAUGUUUCUGUUUUAACUUGAAUUAAAGUCUUCCAAACAG
rnacentral:lncRNA from 1 species